AUUGAACGCUGGCGGCAGGCUUAACACAUGCAAGUCGAACGAGUGGCGGACGGGUGAGUAAUGUUUGGGAAACUGCCUUAUGGAGGGGUAUAACUACUGGAAACUGUAGCUACUACCGCCUACCAUCAGCUGUGCCCAAUUGGGAUUCGGUUGUUGGUGGGGUAACGGCUCACCAAGCCGACGAUCCCUAGCUGGUCUGAGAGGAUGACCAGCCACACUGGGACUGAGACACGGCCCAGACUCCUACGGGAGGAAGCAGUGGGGAAUAUUGCGCAAUGGGGGCAACCCUGACGCAGCCAUGCCGCGUGAAUGAAGAAGGCCUUCGGGUUGUAAAGUUCUUUUGGUAGCGAGGCGGUAACUACAGAAUAAGCACCGGCUAACUACGUGCCAGCAGCCGCGGUAAUAC
rnacentral:rRNA from 1 species